rnacentral:rRNA from 1 species
UCGAUGGGAGCUUGCUCCCUGAGAUUAGCGGCGGACGGGUGAGUAACACGUGGGCAACCUGCCUAUAAGACUGGGAUAACUUCGGGAAACCGGAGCUAAUACCGGAUACGUUCUUUUCUCGCAUGAGAGAAGAUGGAAAGACGGUUUACGCUGUCACUUAUAGAUGGGCCCGCGGCGCAUUAGCUAGUUGGUGAGGUAAUGGCUCACCAAGGCGACGAUGCGUAGCCGACCUGAGAGGGUGAUCGGCCACACUGGGACUGAGACACGGCCCAGACUCCUACGGGAGGCAGCAGUAGGGAAUCUUCCGCAAUGGACGAAAGUCUGACGGAGCAACGCCGCGUGAACGAAGAAGGCCUUCGGGUCGUAAAGUUCUGUUGUUAGGGAAGAACAAGUACCAGAGUAACUGCUGGUACCUUGACGGUACCUAACCAGAAAGCCACGGCUAACUACGUGCCAGCAGCCGCGGUAAUACGUAGGUGGCAAGCGUUGUCCGGAAUUAUUGGGCGUAAAGCGCGCGCAGGUGGUUCCUUAAGUCUGAUGUGAAAGCCCACGGCUCAACCGUGGAGGGUCAUUGGAAACUGGGGAACUUGAGUGCAGAAGAGGAAAGUGGAAUUCCAAGU